GUGGAGUGGUGGAGAUGCUGCCUUGUGGCCCUGUCUCACUGUGCGAGCUGACCAACGAGGUACCCCGAGUGAAAGGCUUGUGGUUGUGCACGAGAUUCCAAGUGUAUGAUCAAGAAGAGUUUAACCGAGUUCCCA